AUUUUAUUGAAAGAAACUUGUAAAUAUAUACCAGGUGCAAGGCACCGAUCGCCUCUAGAAAGACAGCCACCUUAAUUUCUUACAAUGGCAUUAUUCUACAGAAGGCUCAAUCCUAUAAUUACAAAGUUGGAAUUAAAGAAAAUGAGCAAAGGGGGAAGGUAUCAACCAUCAAGGCUGGCGGCUUCAAACAGAGUGCAGCUGUGAGAUUUCAUUUCGUAAGCAAUUAAACCUGCCAUCUGCUCGACCAUUGGUUCACCAUCUUUGGAAAAGAACCCUGGGAAUGGAAGAGCGGUAUCAACCAAACGACGCCAUGUCAUUCCUUCGGGAACUGGGGGUAGAAUAACACUCUCUGAAUGGGCAUAUGCAUUGAAGGCCAUGAAUAGAUCACCCUUUGUGUUGGAAGAUUCAGAGCUCAGCUUGCUCUCUGCUUUAUCACUCUUCAAUGUCAUGGCCAGGAAUUUGCAGGACCAAUCUUCCCAUCUUGGAGGAGACUGGUCCCUUCCAUGCCAAUCAAUAUUUUCUUCCUUCACGAAGUUCCUCUUUUGGAGGACAUCACUUCGCCUCAUUCUUAAUGAAAUCAAGAAUGAGAUGAACUGUGUCAUUUGAAUACCAAAACCUGUUGACAAAGCAUUCCAAUCAAAGGGUUUUCUGUCACCAUAUGAAAUGGAACCCUUUGAAGAUUGGCCACACUCAUCUCCCAUAUUAAGAACAGGUACACCUAAUGAAACAUAAAGAAUAAAGAGAUAGUUACGAAUUUGUUUAAGUCUUCUUUCAAGGACAGGAAUUUUGUUUGUAGGUCCUUCUUCUCCACAAUUCCAGCUUAAUUCUGAGGCUAGCUUACCUCUACUGAAGCUUACCAAGUCCACUAGAGUAAGUCCAGAGUUCCUGGCAAUAUAAUUAAAAGAAAAAGCAGGCCCUCGACCACUUGAAAAGAUGUCUCCACUCCCACAAAGCCUUGUUGCAAGGUCACUAAGAAGACUUUCACCUCUCAAAAAGUUUCUUACAUCAAAACAAAAUUUUGCAUUCAUCUCUGCCCAUCUUUUCCAAUGAGGAAAGCAGGUUUCCUUGGGUGUGAUGUCUUCAGGGUCCCAGCAGUCUGCAAUGAUCUUGGUCUUUGAGAGUAGUGGAUCAAAAGCAAUUGCUUCAACCAAGGGAGGGCGAGAUAAAAUUUCACCAUGAAACCCUCUCUGUAGAAAUGAAGCAUUUAUAAAACAGAAACCAUCAAUGUGAAAUUCAGUCACCCAGUGCCGAAGACUAUCUAAAAUCAUUCUUUGAACAACAGGAUAAUUACAAUUCAAAGCAUUUCUUGAUUCCAACUCUACAGCUCUAUUUGCAUAAUAAUAGGAGAAGUCAUCAAUUCCUUGCAGUGCUCCACCCUCAGCAGUAUGGGUGAAAACAACUUCCAGUAAAACCUCGAUCCCAUUGGCAUGCAAUUGCUUCACCAUCUCCUUCAUUGAGAUAAUAGCAGGUAUAGAGCCACCAGAAGGCCCAUAUAGGCUUGAUGGUGAAAAGAAGUGACGUGGAAAAAAUGGCCCCUUUUGUUCAUCAAAUGGAAAUAUUGGCUCUAAUAAAACUGCAUUUACACCAAGAUUUUUUAUAUGGUUCAACUUCUCAGUCAAGCCAGCAAAGGUGCCUGCGAUAUCACUAGAUAGCUGACUAGACUUGUGCUCAGUAAAACGCUUCACAUUCAAUCGAUAAACAAUUAGUUUCUCCAUGUCCAAGUUUGGAUGAACAUCAUCACUCCAUUCAAAAGCAGGUUCCUCACAUAAUCGUCCAAUAUACUUUGGUGACAAACCAGAUCCAUGAUUCGCUGUGGAGUUAACAAUGAUUCUAGCAUAUGGAUCCAAAAGAACACGCUCUACAUAAACUUUACCUGUUUCUCCCUGAAGAAUACCUCCCUUGCAUCGGUAACCAUAGCUUGAAAAUGUCCAUGCGCCUUCCAGUGAGGCGUGCCAGACAUCGCCUGAUCGAUUAACAUGUGGAUCUAGAUCAAGCUCUAAAGCAGGUUUGUCUGUUGUAGAGUCAUCAUAAAAGCAUAGAACCAUGCCUUCCGCAUUUCUUGAAAAAAAUGCAAAAUUCAUGGAACCAUCAGUUGAAAAGGAAAGACCUAGUGGAUCUGGAUAACCUGAACUAAAACCAAUUGGGACGGAAAAUUUUGCUUUCUUAUGGUUCCUGAUCUCUGAGCCACUUGAAUUACUAUUAAACAUACAUUUCAGCAGAAAUGAGAGAUAGAAGGGAGUUUGUUUUACUUCAAACUCCAAUUCAAGUGAAAAUCUACCAAAAGUAUUCUGUACAAAUGGAGUAUCCAUGGUCCUGGCACCUGGGUCCAAAUGUUGAGAAUCCAGUGGCAUGAAACAUGAUGAAUCAGAUCUAUAUAUUCCCCAAGUAAGCACCAGCCUAUAGUCACUAGUACCCAGUUCCAAGGAUGAAACCUCAAUAUAAAGUGCGUAUUUGGCAUUUUUCUUUCUAACAAAAACUUUCACAUUACCACCAUUUUGCGUCCUAAACAGAUAAGUUGAUACCUUUUUAAGUUCAUCAACUUCAGAAGUUGUGGAAAAUAUUUGUUCAGUUUGCUGAACUGGGACCCUUGCUGCAGCAAAUUCUCUUGAACUAAGAUUCCCAUGCAGAGCUUUUCUGACAUUUUGUGCAACUUCUCCGACCAAGAGCCCUUUUUCUACAUCCAUUCCCCCUAAGCCUAGUGCCAAUUUUUUUCCAGAGAUGUAAUGCGCGGUGACUGUUAAUUUUGAUGACUCCACAGCUCUACAGCUAUAGAAGCAAGGACUCUUCGCAAGGGAUAGAGGAAGAGUUGCCAUGUCUCCCCGUAAAAGUAGAUAAUUAAACAAAAAUCCUCUUAAGGAAGGAGGUCUUCCACAGAAGCGGUAUCAUUAAUAACUUUGCUAUCAACUGGAAUACUGAGAGAGAGAGAGUGAGAGAGAGAUGGGAGAAACAAAAGAAAUUUGUGAUGGCUAUGGAAGCCAAGGAUAUAUGAUCCUCAGGCAAUAACAAGUGGAUGUAGAUAAUCCAUACAGAACCCUACAAAUCAAGUGUAGGGAUUAGCAAAUGACAAAUAGAUACACACUACAUCUGACUCAUACAACAUAGAUGCUGCCAAUAAAAACUAUCGAUAAGUUAGAAUAAAUGUUUAUAAAUUAUAGCGAUUAGAAGCUACCAAAUAGAUCAAUAUCACUGAUUAAUACAAUCGAUAAGCACAGCUAGAAUGAGAAUUCAAUAUUACUGCCACUGCACUUAUAAACAUAAUAUUUCUAUCAUACAUCAAAUAUAACAUGACUCUCACAACUAAAGUGACCAUAACACCAUCCAUAAUUAUAUAACCUUUCAGAUUGCAAUAGAUAAGGAAAAACAUACAUAAAACUAAACCCCCCUAGCAGAAUUCUCAUACAUGUUUCAAAUGUACUUUCAGAAGAGUCUCUUAGCUCUACAUAAUGUGGCUGCUCCCCAAGUCAGAUGUGAAAACAACAUAUGAGAAUGAUCUUAGCAUUUGAAAGUGUUACCUAAUUGUCACAACAUUAAAAAUCAAAGAGUAGAUUAUUUCUAGAUAGUCUCCUACACAAGGUGUGCUAAGCAUUCAAUGCAGAAUUAAGUUGCCAUUGUUUCUAACAUAAUAGUUAACAUGAAAAUGGCUCCAAGUGACAUAGUAAGAGCGAAAAUUAGUCAAAAGAAGGAUUACUUAUCUAGAAAGCUUGAUUUAUCAUCUACACCAUGAAUCCACUCAACAUCUGGGCCAAACUUAAUCUGGCCAUCCAAAUCCAGAGUAACAUGCACUCCAAGGCCUCCAUCCUCAGGUAUAGGGUAUAUCAAAUGCUGGAAAGGAGGGACUCUAGUAUUCGAAAGGGUGAAAUAGCAACCGCGAGCAUAAUGUGCUGGAGGAAUUAUACCACUAUUGAGGCCAUUAAAUCUCCUUGCAAGAGGAAGGGCACUCAAUCCUGCAGAGUUCACAACAAGCUUAGGAAUAAGGAUAAGCUCCAGGGGCAAUGGAGACUUUCCAUCCCAGCUGUCAAGAUGAUUGCUUCCCACUAUAUGAAGAUGCAGACGGUUAUCCUCAAGAUGGCCACUAAUGACUGUAGAAUUGUAAGAGAAGGUUGCCCCAUGACUUUCAGCUUCUCCCAUUAAAGACAGCAUAAGAGAAUGCACAUCAACAAUCCCAGAAAAAGGGGACAAUAAAGCCUUGAGGCAUUGCAAUUGAGGUUCCAUUUUCAUGGCUUCAAAACCCUCCAACAUUCUCAAGCCAUCCACCCCAUUUUGAGCACCACGAUUCAUUAGCUGAUACAGGUUUGGAAUCUCCGAAGAUGAAGUGGCAACUAUGAGCUUGCCCGUCUGUUUGUGCGGAAUCCCAUGUUCAGAGCAAUAAGAAUAGAGCAAUUUUCUUCCCCUCACACAGAACAAUGCCUUGAGGGAAUUGGGCAGGUAAUAGAUGCCGGCGUGAAUGACUUGGCUAUUGCGAGAGCUGGUACCAGUGCCAAAAGUCGAGGCGGAAUCCACCACUAAUACCUCUCUGCCCUUGAGAGCAAGCUCUCUUGCCACUGCUAUGCCCACCACACCUGCUCCUAUCACCACACAAUCGACCUCCUCUCUUGGUGUGUUUGUAGUUGAAAUAGAGCUCAAUCUUUUUUUCAAGCUUCGAAUUGUGUGCUUGAGCAUCUUCUUAUUCCUUUCUCCUCCUCCACAACAAUCAUUCAAAUCAAGAAUCUGUCCAUUGAGUGAUUAGAAGAUCAGUCUGCUACUGUGGAACAUCCCGCCCUUCCUUUUGUUCUGGGGAGAGAGAGAGAACCAGUGGGGAAAGUGGAAAUUAUUAGAAAAUGU
rnacentral:misc_RNA from 1 species